rnacentral:lncRNA from 1 species
GGAGGAUCACAGAUCAUGACUGUUUAGUUGAGAGAAAACAGAGAAGAUGAACUAACUUUGUCUAACUUCUCAAAGGACUCUGCGCAGCGAGGAACCCAUCCUUUAAUGGCCUCCCCAGCAACAGAAGCCAGCCAAGACGGCCAUUCUGCAGCAGGGAGUUCCGUUUUAUUGCUGAUCACACGUGCUGGCUGCUGCUGUGCCGGCUGUGCAACCGGUAUAGCGGUGACUCUUCUUGUUGGAUUUCUGGUCGGAGCUCCCACAACAACGACCGGUUUGGUGCUGUUUCGAUCAGAUGAAGUGGAAGGACGGCGUGCCACAGGAUAACCAUUAGCCACAAUGGUGAUAGAAGCUGAAGAAGUCGUACGUGUGAAAGAUCCUUCCUUCUUGGAUGAAGACGAAGACGACGGGGGAUGAUGAGGGAGAAGUUGAAGGAUGGAUUUGCUGGAAUCUAAUAGAUCUUUAUCGGUAACGGCGGCGCUUGGUGAACGGGCGGUGGCACAAAUACAACCCAUUACAAAACAAACCACCGCUCAAAACUCCUACUUAAUGGAAAAAACUUUAGUUUUUGCCGAUUUGCUUUUAUCUAUCUAUCUCUCAUUCUCUCUACUAUGUCUUAGGUGAUAUGGUCGGCGACCAAAAACUUUCAUUUUUUGUUGUCUCUCUCACGUUUUUGUGAGUUUGUUGUCAUAGAAAAGUGGAACGUGCGUAC